rnacentral:rRNA from 1 species
AUUGAACGCUGGCGGAAUGCUUUACACAUGCAAGUCGAACGGCAGCACGGGGCAACCUGGUGGCGAGUGGCGAACGGGUGAGUAAUACAUCGGAACGUGCCCAGUCGUGGGGGAUAACGUAGCGAAAGUUACGCUAAUACCGCAUACGAUCUAAGGAUGAAAGCGGGGGAUCGCAAGACCUCGCGCGAUUGGAGCGGCCGAUGUCAGAUUAGGUAGUUGGUGGGGUAAAGGCCCACCAAGCCGACGAUCGGUAGCUGGUCUGAGAGGACGACCGGCCACACUGGGACGGAGACACGGCCCAGGCUCCUACGGGAGGCAGCAGUGGGGAAUUUUGGACAAUGGGCGAAAGCCUGAUCCAGCCAUGCCGCGUGCAGGAUGAAGGCCUUCGGGUUGUAAACUGCUUUUGUACGGAACGAAAAGGUUUGGCCUAAUAAGCUGAGCUCAUGACGGUACCGUAAGAAUAAGCACCGGCUAACUACGUGCCAGCCGCCGCGGUAA